rnacentral:sRNA from 1 species
UUAAAUGCACAGUCUGAUGACUGUAUGUGGCUAAUUUUGCCUUCCUUUGUCUUCGGUCCCUGGCUGUAUUUGUGCAAUGUCUUUGAUAUGCUACUUGGUGCUGUUUGUAAAGAAGCAUUUACAAUAGUAUAUGAUGUCUGAACUCUUCUGAAUAGGUUAAAGAACUCCGAGAAAAGGCUGAGUUUUAUAGGAAGCGAGUUCAGGGGACGCAUUUUUCUCGGGACCAUCUGAAUCAGAUUUUAUCUGAUAGCAACUGCUGUUGGGAUGUCUCCUCAACCACAAGCUCAGAAGGAACCGUUAGUAGCAACAUCAGAGCAUUAGAUCUUGCUGGAGAUCCUACAAGCCAUAAGACUUUGCAGAAAUGUCCUUCUACAGAACCAGAAGAAAAAGGAAAUAUCGUGGAAGAACAGCCCCAGAAAAAUACCACGGAGAAAUUGGGUGUGUCAGCUCCCACCAUACCCGUUAGAAGGCGGCUGGCUUGGGAUACAGAGAACACAAGUGAAGACGUACAGAAACAGCCCGGGGAGAAAGAGGAGGAGGACGACGAUGAAGAGGAAGGGGACAGGAAAACGGGCAAGCAG